GCCGCAGGGCACCCCGGGAUACUGGCUGACCCAUACAACCCAGACAAGAGCUGGGCUCAAUGUUUUAAGGAUACACCAGUAACACCGCCAGCUGUGUGCUGUGGCCGAACAAUAUGUCCUCUAGAAGAAGCAAGCCCUAUGUGCUUCCACUACUCCCUGGUGACUCCUUUCCAGACUGUCUGCGACACCGAGAUGUCUUAUUCCUGAGGGAUGGAAGCAGGAGGGCAACCAGCCUGACCUCGCUGGUCUGGGAGGAGGUCACCAGGGACAUCUGUGCCUGUGGCACACAGAAAAGAAAGACCCUGCAGUGCAAGAAGAAGAUGAAUGAUCUUAUCUGCUUUGCCAGGGUCUGAGUCACCCACAUAAUUUCCACUGGGGUCGAUUCCAUGUUCAUCACUGAUGACUUCCCAAAACUGAGGAAAAAAAGGAAGAAAAUCGAGAAAUAUAAGAUAACCAGCGAGAUUAAUUAGCUUUAAGCUAGAUGCUGUGUGUAUAUAUUUGGAAGAAAUGGAAAAUAACUGUUCCAAUCAUGUAUGUAUUUCAGUGUGUGGCUAAUUAUUCUAAUGUGACAAAAUGAUGGAUGCAGGUCAAUUAUUUUUAUUGACCAAUAGCAUAGUAUACCAUUAGCACUGGCUUUAACCUAAGCAGAUAUACAUGUGAGAUCUAAUCAUUUUUAUUUGGCUACAUGUCCCUAAUAAUUAUGUUAAGGUGGUCAAGUCUUUUGCUUAAUAAAUAUUACGUUUUUGCUUUGCUUUUGCCAAGAUCUAAAAGGAUUCCCGCAUUUCAAUUUGAUCUCAACUGGAAUAUCAAAAUCUAUUUUUUCUCUCUGCCUCCAACUAAAGCUGGUAUCUGAUAUCCACCACCACCACCCCGCUCCAAAGGUUCAAAAAAUUGUCUCUAUGGAUUAAAUAUGCCCAAAGUUGCUCUUGGUAUCUUGUGAUGAUUGCCUGAACAGACUCUCCGUCGGCUGACAGGCAGUAAUUAUCAUAACAUCAGGAAUAGCAGUGGUGGGGACAGCAAGUAAAAACUAAUUACAUCUCGCUUCACACUAUGAUUUAUGUGUUCUUUGAACUCAAAAUAAAAAGAACAUUUUCAGUGG